ACGAACGCUGGCGGCGUGCCUAAUACAUGCCAGUCGAACGCUUCUUUCCUCCCGAGUGCUUGCACUCAAUUGGAAAGAGGAGUGGCGGACGGGUGAGUAACACGUGGGUAACCUACCCAUCAGAGGGGGAUAACACUUGGAAACAGGUGCUAAUACCGCAUAACAGUUUAUGCCGCAUGGCAUAAGAGUGAAAGGCGCUUUCGGGUGUCGCUGAUGGAUGGACCCGCGGUGCAUUAGCUAGUUGGUGAGGUAACGGCUCACCAAGGCCACGAUGCAUAGCCGACCUGAGAGGGUGAUCGGCCACACUGGGACUGAGACACGGCCCAGACUCCUACGGGAGGCAGCAGUAGGGAAUCUUCGGCAAUGGACGAAAGUCUGACCGAGCAACGCCGCGUGAGUGAAGAAGGUUUUCGGAUCGUAAAACUCUGUUGUUAGAGAAGAACAAGGACGUUAGUAACUGAACGUCCCCUGACGGUAUCUAACCAGAAAGACACGGCUAACUACGUG
rnacentral:rRNA from 1 species